rnacentral:rRNA from 1 species
CGUAUCACUUAAAGCGAUUCAGCGGGUUACGAUUGACGGAGCGAAGCGACGUCAAAGCGUAUACAAAGUCGAGUCGGUUUAAGGAUACGUUCGUUGGGUAGGGGAGCGUUCUGUAAGCCUGUGAAGGUGUGUCGUGAGGCAUGCUGGAGGUAUCAGAAGUGCGAAUGCUGACAUAAGUAACGAUAAAGCGGGUGAAAAGCCCGCUCGCCGGAAGACCAAGGGUUCCUGUCCAACGUUAAUCGGGGCAGGGUGAGUCGACCCCUAAGGCGAGGCCGAAAGGCGUAGUCGAUGGGAAACGGGUUAAUAUUCCCGUACUUGGUGUUACUGCGAAGGGGGGACGGAGAAGGCUAUGUUGGCCGGGCGACGGUUGUCCCGGUUUAAGCGUGUAGGUGUGUGUUCCAGGUAAAUCCGGUUCACUUUAACACUGAGGCGUGAUGACGAGGCACUACGGUGCUGAAGCAACAAAUGCCCUGCUUCCAGGAAAAGCCUCUAAGCAUCAGGUAACAUCAAAUCGUACCCCAAACCGACACAGGUGGUCAGGUAGAGAAUACCAAGGCGCUUGAGAGAACUCGGGUGAAGGAACUAGGCAAAAUGGUGCCGUAACUUCGGGAGAAGGCACGCUGACAUGUAGGUGAAGUGAUUUACUCAUGGAGCUGAAGUCAGUCGAAGAUACCAGCUGGCUGCAACUGUUUAUUAAAAACACAGCACUGUGCAAACACGAAAGUGGACGUAUACGGUGUGACGCCUGCCCGGUGCCGGAAGGUUAAUUGAUGGGGUCAGCGCAAGCGAAGCUCCUGAUCGAAGCCCCGGUAAACGGCGGCCGUAACUAUAACGGUCCUAAGGUAGCGAAAUUCCUUGUCGGGUAAGUUCCGACCUGCACGAAUGGCGUAAUGAUGGCCAGGCUGUCUCCACCCGAGACUCAGUGAAAUUGAACUCGCUGUGAAGAUGCAGUGUACCCGCGGCAAGACGGAAAGACCCCGUGAACCUUUACUAUAGCUUGACACUGAACAUUGAGCCUUGAUGUGUAGGAUAGGUGGGAGGCUUUGAAGCGUGGACGCCAGUCUGCGUGGAGCCGACCUUGAAAUACCACCCUUUAAUGUUUGAUGUUCUAACGUGGACCCGUAAUCCGGGUUGCGGACAGUGUCUGGUGGGUAGUUUGACUGGGGCGGUCUCCUCCUAAAGAGUAACGGAGGAGCACGAAGGUUGGCUAAUCCUGGUCGGACAUCAGGAGGUUAGUGCAAUGGCAUAAGCCAGCUUGACUGCGAGCGUGACGGCGCGAGCAGGUGCGAAAGCAGGUCAUAGUGAUCCGGUGGUUCUGAAUGGAAGGGCCAUCGCUCAACGGAUAAAAGGUACUCCGGGGAUAACAGGCUGAUACCGCCCAAGAGUUCAUAUCGACGGCGGUGUUUGGCACCUCGAUGUCGGCUCAUCACAUCCUGGGGCUGAAGUAGGUCCCAAGGGUAUGGCUGUUCGCCAUUUAAAGUGGUACGCGAGCUGGGUUUAGAACGUCGUGAGACAGUUCGGUCCCUAUCUGCCGUGGGCGCUGGAGAACUGAGGGGGGCUGCUCCUAGUACGAGAGGACCGGAGUGGACGCAUCACUGGUGUUCGGGUUGUCAUGCCAAUGGCACUGCCCGGUAGCUAAAUGCGGAAGAGAUAAGUGCUGAAAGCAUCUAAGCACGAAACUUGCCCCGA